AAAGAUGCCCAACAAGAUCAGGUA
rnacentral:siRNA from 1 species